UUAAAAAUAAGCUAAUGGAAGCUUUUGGGUUUAUACCUCAACUAUAAAGGAAAUCCUUUUUUUUAAA
rnacentral:tRNA from 1 species